GCCUGAUGCAGCGACGCCGCGUGAGGGAUGACGGCCUUCGGGUUGUAAACCUCUUUCAGUAGGGAAGAAGCGAAAGUGACGGUACCUGCAGAAGAAGCGCCGGCUAACUACGUGCCAGCAGCCGCGGUAAUACGUAGGGCGCAAGCGUUAUCCGGAAUUAUUGGGCGUAAAGAGCUCGUAGGCGGUUUGUCGCGUCUGCCGUGAAAGUCCGGGGCUCAACUCCGGAUCUGCGGUGGGUACGGGCAGACUAGAGUGAUGUAGGGGAGACUGGAAUUCCUGGUGUAGCGGUGAAAUGCGCAGAUAUCAGGAGGAACACCGAUGGCGAAGGCAGGUCUCUGGGCAUUAACUGACGCUGAGGAGCGAAAGCAUGGGGAGCGAACAGGAUUAGAUACCCUGGUAGUCCAUGCCGUAAACGUUGGGCACUAGGUGUGGGGGACAUUCCACGUUUUCCGCGCCGUAGCUAACGCAUUAAGUGCCCCGCCUGGGGAGUACGGCCGCAAGGCUAAAACUCAAAGGAAUUGACGGGGGCCCGCACAAGCGGCGGAGCAUGCGGAUUAAUUCGAUGCAACGCGAAGAACCUUACCAAGGCUUGACAUGGGCCGGACCGGGCUGGAAACAGUCCUUCCCCUUUGGGGC
rnacentral:rRNA from 1 species